AUUGAACGCUGGCGGCAUGCCUUACACAUGCAAGUCGAACGGCAGCGGGGGAGAAGCUUGCUUUUCCUGCCGGCGAGUGGCGAACGGGUGAGUAAUACAUCGGAACGUGCCCUGUAGUGGGGGAUAACUAGUCGAAAGAUUAGCUAAUACCGCAUACGACCUGAGGGUGAAAGUGGGGGACCGCAAGGCCUCAUGCUAUAGGAGCGGCCGAUGUCUGAUUAGCUAGUUGGUGGGGUAAAGGCCUACCAAGGCGACGAUCAGUAGCUGGUCUGAGAGGACGAUCAGCCACACUGGGACUGAGAACCGGCCAAGAGUCCUACGGGAGGCAGCAGUGGGGAAUUUUGGACAAUGGGCGAAAGCCUGAUCCAGCAAUGCAGCGUGUGUGAAGAAGGCCUUCGGGUUGUAAAGCACUUUUGUCCGGAAAGAAAUGGCUCUGGUUAAUACCUGGGGUCGAUGACGGUACCGGAAGAAUAAGGACCGGCUAACUACGUGCCAGCAGCCGCCGUAA
rnacentral:rRNA from 1 species